AACGAACGCUGGCGGCAUGCCUAACACAUGCAAGUCGAACGAGACCUUCGGGUCUAGUGGCGCACGGGUGCGUAACGCGUGGGAACCUGCCCUUAGGCUCGGAAUAACUCCCCGAAAGGGGUGCUAAUACCGGAUAAUGUCUUCGGACCAAAGAUUUAUCGCCUUUGGAUGGGCCCGCGUUGGAUUAGCUAGUUGGUAGGGUAAAAGCCUACCAAGGCGACGAUCCAUAGCUGGUCUGAGAGGAUGAUCAGCCACACUGGGACUAAGACACGGCCCAGACUCCUACGGGAGGCAGCAGUGGGGAAUAUUGGACAAUGGGCGAAAGCCUGAUCCAGCAAUGCCGCGUGAGUGAUGAAGGCCUUAGGGUUGUAAAGCUCUUUUACCCGGGAUGAUAAUGACAGUACCGGGAGAAUAAGCUCCGGCUAACUCCGUG
rnacentral:rRNA from 1 species